UGGGGAAUAUUGCACAAUGGGGGUAACCCUGAUGCAGCGACGCCGCGUGAACGAAGAAGGUAUUUGUAUCGUAAAGUUCUGUCCUAUGGGAAGAUAAUGACAGUACCAUAGAAGAAAGCUCCGGCUAAAUACGUGCCAGCAGCCGCGGUAAUACGUAUGGAGCGAGCGUUGUCCGGAAUUAUUGGGCGUAAAGGGUACGCAGGCGGUUUAAUAAGUCGAAUGUUAAAGAUCGGGGCUCAACCCCGUAAAGCAUUGGAAACUGAUAAACUUGAGUAGUGGAGAGGAAAGUGGAAUUCCUAGUGUAGUGGUGAAAUACGUAGAAAUUAGUAGGAAUACCAGUAGCGAAGGCGACUUUCUGGACACAAACUGACGCUGAGAUUCGAAAGCGUGGGGAGCAAGCAGG
rnacentral:rRNA from 1 species